UACGGAGGGGGCAAGCGUUGUUCGGAAUUACUGGGCGUAAAGGCUCGUAGGUGGCCAACUAAGUCAGACGUGAAGUCCCUCAGCUUAACUGGGGAACUGCGUCUGAUACUGGAUGGCUUGAGUUUGGGAGAGGGACGCGGAAUUCCAGGUGUAGCGGUGAAAUGCGCAGAUAUCAGGAGGAACACCGGUGGCGAAGGCGGAUCUCUGGGCCUACCUGACGCUCAGG
rnacentral:rRNA from 1 species